rnacentral:rRNA from 1 species
AUCUGUCCCUAGUACGAGAGGACCGGGAUGGACGGACCGCUGGUGUACCGGUUGUCCCGCCAGGGGCACAAGCCGGGUAGCUAUGUUCGGAUCGGAUAACCGCUGAAGGCAUCUAAGCGGGAAGCCGGCCUUGAGAUGAGAUACCCCAUUGCAUAAGCAAGUAAGGAGUCCGGCAGACGACCGGAUAGAUAGGCCGGAGGUGUAAGAGGGUAACGCCCUUUGAGCUGACCGGUACUAAUACUCCGAGGCCUUAACCUC